GAAAUGCGAUAAGUAGUGUGAAUUGCAGAAUUCAGUGAAUCAUCGAAUCUUUGAACGCACAUUGCGCCCUUUGGUAUUCCUUAGGGCAUGCCUGUUCGAGCGUCAUUUGGAAACUCAAGCUCAGCUUGGUGUUGGGUGUCUGUCUCCGCCCCGCGGGGACUCGCCUCAAAAGCAUUGGCGGCCGGUACGUUGGCUUCGAGCGCAGCAGAAACGCGAACUCGGGGCUGGCGGAUCGGCGACCAGAAGAAUCUUCUUUACAGCUUGACCUCGGAUCAGGUAGGGAUACCCGCUGAACUUAA
rnacentral:misc_RNA from 1 species